ensembl:lncRNA
CUCGUUUGUAGGGGGCAGCAGAUUUUCAUGUUAAGUGAAAACGCGACUAGGGAGGAGUGAGCGGUAGCUGAUUCUGUCCCUCGCGAGGCACCGUAGGUCUAGGAAACUCCAGGGCCUGGACUCUAUUUCCUGUACUCGUUAGCAUCUCCCAGCGUGAGCUAUAGGAUCAUGACUCGGGGCGAAUCUAGUUUGAUUCUGAGAACCCAGUGGCCUUCUGGCUUUUGUCGUUCUGUUUUAUUUAACUGACACCGUCAUCUAUCCUGGCAUGUCGGCUUUCAGUCCCCGGCUCCGGCCCAGGCAGCGGACUCUACCACCAAGCAAGCUCAUUUUACAGAUGAGGCAACUGAGGCAAACAGGAUGAAGUGAUUUGCCCGAGGUCAUAUAGCUGGUCAUGUGGCCGUGGUCACAUUUGGACUCAGGUUUUCUUUACCCCAGUCCCGGCCCUCUAUCCAUUGAGCCACUCGACAGCCACAAAACUUUAUGGUUGAAUAAUGUCCAAAGCAGGACCAUGCCUUGUCCCUUGGUAUAGCUGCCUGCCGGGACCCUGCCGGUUGAGAAGACAUUCUUUUCUCAGUGCCAGCCUCCAUUUCCUUAAUAGGACUUUGCCACUCUGAAAUCAGUCUUCUAGCAAAGCUGACUUCUCAUCCAAGAAUAAACUUCCAUUUUUCCACCCAAAACUCUUCGAGUUUUCUUUCACGAAGAAUCUGCGCCUCCGAGCAAAAGGAGAUUUCCACAACUCUCUGCCUGCCACUAGAACCCCAUCAUUCUGGCUUUGGAAUCAGUAAUCCCAAGAUCCCUCUGACCUCGGCGGGCUUUUGUUCUGGUAGUCCGUCCAUCGACGACUGUAAACAUCUUCUGAUCUAGGAAUAUAAUAUUUCUUCCCUUAGAUUUUAAGGAAGAUAUACGUAGUGAUCCUGGGCUCUCUGACCUUGGAGUGCUGUUGGUCUAACAAUCUGUCCACAAACAUUGCUGACUGUCAGAUACAUGAUUACAUGAUCUGCUGGUCAAUGAUAACCAACUUCCUGAGACCACUCCUCAGUUCUACCUCUGGGCCACAAAAUCAACAUGUCAGUGACAUGAAGCACCU